rnacentral:rRNA from 1 species
UGGCGGCGUGCCUAAUACAUGCAAGUCGAGCGAAUGGAUUAAGAGCUUGCUCUUAUGAAGUUAGCGGCGGACGGGUGAGUAACACGUGGGUAACCUGCCCAUAAGACUGGGAUAACUCCGGGAAACCGGGGCUAAUACCGGAUAACAUUUUGAACCGCAUGGUUCGAAAUUGAAAGGCGGCUUCGGCUGUCACUUAUGGAUGGACCCGCGUCGCAUUAGCUAGUUGGUGAGGUAACGGCUCACCAAGGCAACGAUGCGUAGCCGACCUGAGAGGGUGAUCGGCCACACUGGGACUGAGACACGGCCCAGACUCCUACGGGAGGCAGCAGUAGGGAAUCUUCCGCAAUGGACGAAAGUCUGACGGAGCAACGCCGCGUGAGUGAUGAAGGCUUUCGGGUCGUAAAACUCUGUUGUUAGGGAAGAACAAGUGCUAGUUGAAUAAGCUGGCACCUUGACGGUACCUAACCAGAAAGCCACGGCUAACUACGUGCCAGCAGCCGCGGUAAUACGUAGGUGGCAAGCGUUAUCCGGAAUUAUUGGGCGUAAAGCGCGCGCAGGUGGUUUCUUAAGUCUGAUGUGAAAGCCCACGGCUCAACCGUGGAGGGUCAUUGGAAACUGGGAGACUUGAGUGCAGAAGAGGAAAGUGGAAUUCCAUGUGUAGCGGUGAAAUGCGUAGAGAUAUGGAGGAACACCAGUGGCGAAGGCGACUUUCUGGUCUGUAACUGACACUGAG